UUCUCUUUUCGAGAUAAAGUUGUGUACAUUUAGAUUGAAAAAGAAUAUCUCCAAAUGGAAUAUGAAUUUUCAUUGGUAAACUAUUAUUGAAAUUCAAGACGAUACAAUUGUUCAAUUGAUUUGGAGUAUGAACUAUAAUUCUGCAAAGCGAUGCGAGUAGAAGCCACGUGAGGGCCAGUCCAUGUCUAUGGAAGAAUCUGAUCGCAGGUAAAUAUUCAUCUUGGAAAAUUCUUCAUUUAAUUGAAACUAUGUAAGAAAUGAGGUAAGGGUAUGCAAUGCAGUAUUUAUUUAUUACGAAUUAAUUAAAAACAUUGUAUUUUACGAGAGUUUAUUUAGUGUAUAUUUUUUUCCACUAAAAUAACGCAUAAAAUGAAAAUUAUUUCUCAAAAAAAUUAUGAAACUAGUUAUUUUUCACUUUUUUCUUCUUAUUGAGAAGGCGUACCACCUCCUUUCUCUGGUCUAUGUCUCCUGUGACGUGGAUUGCCACCUACCUCACCUUUUACGUUGGUGGUCGUCCGAUGAGUCUUCUUUCGAGGGGUUUGUUAUCCCUGGUGAUCUUUGCCAUUCUGUCCACAUGCUGCUUCCACUCUCUACGCCUCUUCCUUAUCAAUCUGACCACAAAGUCCACUUGGUACUUCUCUCUUAUAACAGAAUUUCUCUCUCUGUCCGCCAGUUUGUAUCGUGUUAUUGUUCUUAGGGUCUCUGUGAGAUUUUUCAUUCGAAUGGAUACUUUUUAUAUGUCUUUUAAGGGUUUUUUCACGCUUCAAACAUACUCACAUGAGUGACAUUUAUGAUGUUUUUUAUUCAAAUGAACAGAAUCUAUAUGCCUUUUG